UACAAACUCAAACAUCAUAAAAAAGCUGAGGAAAUCAAAUUAAAAAAAUUAAAAAAUAAUAAUUAGAUUUAAAACUACUACACUUAAACACAUUCCUGUUUGUUUGUUGAUGAGCUGAUCAUAUCUGUAACCCACAAUGCUGCAACAUCCAUUAUGACAGUAGCAGACAGUCAAUCAGUUAAGCAGUUAAGAAAUGACUCGUUAUAUACAGCAUAACACUUUCAAACAUGUACAGGUUUUCACUAGUCAGGAUGGUGCUGUUUAGGGCCACCAGCACUACUAUUCAGAAUCUACAGCCUCUUGCCUAACUACUGCCGUGAACCCAACUGCAUUAAAGCAUACGUUAAUUUCCCAGACUGCAGCUAGAGGCCAGCACGAACACAUCCUUUGUGCUUCUCAUUGACAAGGAUUGCAGGCAUUGAGCCCUUGCAAAAUGGAGAAUAAAAGUGGUAAGAGAAGCUCAUUUACAAAUGUUUCCUAUUUGCAUACUCUAAUGAAAUGGGCCAUAAUUGGUCAUCAUUGAUUUUUUUUGAUUGAGCUAAAAUUGAGUCAAAUAUUCUUAGGGCAGAUAGCUGAUUGAUUUGCGGUGAGAUUCAGGACUAUUCAGUUUGAGAAAUAAUUAUGUUCUUAUUUAGUUAUCAUCAUUCCUCUUAAGUGCAUUGCGCUGAUGUAUUUGCAUAGAGGAUUUGCAGGAGCUUCUUUUCUGGUUAUGGAAGCUUGAAAAACGAUGGCAGCAAUCCAAGGAAAGUUUUCCUUUGCACAUAGUUUGAACCAGCAAAUCACAUAAGUCAGACAUAAGUCUUUCCUUGGCAGUUGGGAACUUGGGAAUAGUAGUAUAAUAGGUAAUCGCUUAGGACUGGCUGGAUUCUUGCUUAAGCCACAUCCAACAUAGGCUUGAAGGGCAGGUCAGAUUCAAGACUGAUGUGUGUUCAUUUUAAUGGUUUAUUGCAACUGGUCCCUGGUGUUGAAUAAAUGUAUCGCCAAAGAUGGGCUGAAUAGUGAAGAGCUUCAAUCCUAAAUUUUAAAUUUCAAUUUAUUGGUGUUAAAGUAUAAACAUAAAAUAAACCAAUAAAUAACACAAACAUACAUGUGUACUAUGGGAAUGUUAACAUUUUAAACUCCUAUUGACCAUGACUGUUAUUUUUUAUAAAGUUAUGACCGUGUUUAUGUCUCUGUAUCCAGAGGACCUUGAAGCACUCCAAUUAAUUCAAUGUUCAUUCCUGUGUAAAUGUUUGCUGUAUAUAAACUUAAAUUUUCCUGGGACUUUGGCAUUUAAAAAAAUGUUAUACUACAGUAAUACUAAGUAAUUAAUUUUUGUUGUCACUGGUUUAAGUAUUAAUAUCCUGUAGAGCUUUUUUAUUCUACGAUAGUGUUUUGUGGACUGAAGCUCCCAGAUGUAUUUGAACUUGGACAGAUUUACUUUUCAGUGUGGUUUAGUCACUCUCUGAAUGGUUUCCAUUCCCUUUGUUAGUAAUAGAGAAUGGCCCUGAGAUGAAGCUGACAUUUGUAUAAUUGAUAUGCUUUGCCUUUUCACUUUCAGUAUCAGCAUGGUGACAUAAUGGCUCCAAUGGUUUGGAUUUGGUUCAUUAAGGUCAAGAAAGAUUAUUAUGUGCCCUGAUAUGGAGAAACUCGGUGAUGAGCAAUAGAGUGACAUGGCUGCCAUCAUUCAAAGGAUGCCCAUCAAAAAGGGGAGUUUUUCCGCUGAAUGGGACAAAAUGGGUUUGUAGAGAGUUUGUCAUCACGACAAUAUCUCAUCUUGAAAAGUGGGUAUCAGUGGUUUGGUGAGCAGUUUCAAUACAUUUGGCCACUCAAACCACCAUGCUAAUAGGGAUACUUUUCAAUAACAUUUAGUAUAUGAAGCCAUGCAUGGGUCAAUGAAAUACAUCUUGGCAGUUCAUAAGAAAGGAUAGAAUGUAUUUUUCAAAGUGUUGUGUUUCAUCCAAGUAUCAGCCAUUUCAUUACUAAAUGAUUUAAAGUAGAAGAAAUGUCAUCAUACCUAAUACCAACAACCCUGAAAUGAAUAGUAACCUUCCAAUUUCUAUUAUGCUCCAUAUUACAACUACACCAUGUUACUGUAACAUAAGCAAUAAACAUUAUGUUAUCCAUCCCUGAGUGAGUUAUAUUACUCCAAUAUCCCUUUUUUCUUUUUAACCAAGCUAAAUUCAUUGUUGUAGAAAGCUAACUAACUUCCAGAUGUCUUUGAUUGCAUUAUCUUUUUUUUUUUUUUUUUUUUUUUUUGCCUUACCUAAGACAUUGAUUUAUGGAAUUUGUGACACAAUAUUCUUUUUAUUUUUUAAUAGAAUUUAUAGAUUGAGGCCCAGUAUUGCUAGAUGUAGUACCUAGUAUCGGAAGAUUAGGCUGUUUGGCCCAGGAUCUCAUCUCCUGUACCAGCAGCAGCAAUCAAUUGAGGUGCAACCAAGGCAAGGCGAUGGAGGAGCACUGACCCCCAGAAGGAAGAUACAGUUGCCAAGAACGCGGUGAGGAGGCGGGGGAGAAAGACUUCCAGAACAUUUCGUGAAAGGAUCAGCACAUGGAACAGGGACACCCUCCGCUGCUGGAUGAAGCUUUGCAGGAUAAGAAAGAAGCAUGUAUAUUCUGGUGAAACUAAUGGGACUGUUAUUAGCCAUAGUUCUUCAAUGAAGUCACAAUGAUGUAAUCUUCAAAGCUGUCCCAGAGAAGAUAGGCACCCUCCGGAAUGACGAAAGCUUUUUCCUACAGUCUUCACAGAGAUAUUGUGCUAUGAUGCUGCACAACCAACUUCUGCAAAGAGGACGACCGUGUUAAGAAGACUGUGUUUUAAACAUCACACCAACAGAAUAAGUAUCAAACAUAUAUUGUGUA